rnacentral:rRNA from 1 species
AUGGUCGGCGCCCAAGGGUCGACGAUGCCGGCAGCGGAGGCGGGGAUGGACAUUGAGCUCUCACGCGGGAGCUGGGCCCCAAACUUCGCGUUCGCGUUCGAUUCAGAGCGCUUCUCCGACAAGGUGCUGCGGAUAGAGAUCGUCGCCAACAGUGAAGUUGCGGGAGGAGGAUCCCUCACCGAACCGGCAAGCCAGCGCGCGGAGGAAGAACAAAUACAGGAAGCCUUGCAAGCUCUUGAGUGUUGUGGGUUGAGCCCAAUCUGCAAUUGCUUGGAUCUUGUUUGCAUCUAUUGCACCACCAUUGAUGCCAAUAAUGUGGCCCGUGUACUCUUAGCUCUUGUUGGACGAAUGAACACUUGUUCUCCUUCAGGAGUAACUACUGAUGAAGGACAGAGUAUUGACUCUUCCUCAACCAUGGCAGCCAAAGCAAUUUCAGCAGUAAAGGCCCUUUAUAUAAACUCGGCAAUUCUUGCCGCAAGAAGUCCUUUCUUUCAAAAGCUUUUCACAAAUGGGAUGAAAGAAUCUGAUGAGUCACAUCCAAGAAUUAGGAUUGCUGAUUCAGAAGAAAAUUCCCUUAUGGAGCUUCUAAGAUUCAUGUACAGUGGAAAGCUGACAACAAUUGAGCCCACUCUUCUGCUCGACAUCUUAAUGGGUGCUGACAAAUUUGAGGUUCCUGCUUGCAUGAGGUACUGCAGUCAGUUACUCAUAAGCCGUCCUAUGACCACAGAAUCUGCACUGCUAUACCUAGGCCAUCCAUGCUCCAUUUUAAUGGCUGCUGAAGUUCAGAGUUUAGUACGUGCAGCGAAGGGAUUCCUUGCCAAUAAAUACAAGGAUUUUGAUAUGUUCCAAGAUGAACUGAUGAACAUCUCUCUUGUUGGAAUCGAAGCCAUCUUUUCGAGCAGUGACCUACACGUAUUAUGUGAAGAUGUGGUUUAUUACUUCUUGCUCAAGUGGGCCCGUGUGCGAUACUAUUAUUCAGAGGAGGAAAGGCGCAAGGUCUUGAGUUAUCGCUUACUUCCACUGGUACGCUUCAGUAAUAUGAGCUGUGAUGCACUGCAGAAGGUCCUAAGAUAUGAAGAUGUUGAUAUAGACCAUGAGUACUUAACUAAGCAUAUUGCUGAGGUACUUCUACACAAAGCAUACCCAAACCAGAUGGAAGGUGCUCUUGCAGCAAACGUGACAACAUGUUGGCAAUUUGCUGAGCGAGCUUACGACUUCAAACUUGUGAGAGUGGUUGCUUUUAAUCAACCCUGCCCACAGGUUACAGUUUACAUGGAUCUAAAGCGUGAUGAGUGUUCCCGACUCUUCCCAUCAGGAGGUAUAUGCAUGCAAAUUUUCCAUCUCGCGGGGCACAAAUUCUAUCUCUUGGCAAACUGUAAAAUGGUUGAGCAGGCAACAUCGUACAGCUUUGCCCUAUCGUUAAAUAUUUUUGAUGAGCCGGCAGGCUCAAUAUGUUUAGAUAUUGAGUUUGCUGCAAGGACAAAGCCGUUAGGAAAAUUUGUGAGCAAGUACGGAUAUAAGAACACCAUGACUGGUGAUCGGUCGCAGGGAUGCGGUGAUCUUUUCGGAAUGCCAUGGUCGACGUUCAUUGCUGAUGACAGCCUCUUCAUCGAUGGCGUGCUAUAUCUGAGAGCCGACUUGACUCUGGUGGUGCAGCCUGAAUUACAGACCUGA